GCUGAUCGGAUGUCUGCACUAAGUGCAGCAUCAAUAUGGUGACCUCAUGGGAACAGGAGACUCCCAGGUUGCCUAAGGAGGGGUGAUCUGGCCCAGGGCAUGAACAGAGCAGGUCAAAACUCCCCUGCUGAUCAGUAGUGGGAUCAUACCUUUGA
rnacentral:SRP_RNA from 1 species